rnacentral:rRNA from 1 species
GAUGAACGCUGGCGGCGUGCCUAAUACAUGCAAGUCGAGCGAACAGACGAGAAGCUUGCUUCUCUGAUGUUAGCGGCGGACGGGUGAGUAACACGUGGAUAACCUACCUAUAAGACUGGGAUAACUUCGGGAAACCGGAGCUAAUACCGGAUGAUAUUUUGAACCGCAUGGUUCAAAAGUGAAAGACGGUCUUGCUGUCACUUAUAGAUGGAUCCGCGCUGCAUUAGCUAGUUGGUAAGGUAACGGCUUACCAAGGCAACGAUGCAUAGCCGACCUGAGAGGGUGAUCGGCCACACUGGAACUGCGACACGGUCCAGACUCCUACGGGAGGCAGCAGUAGGGAAUCUUCCGCAAUGGGCGAAAGCCUGACGGAGCAACGCCGCGUGAGUGAUGAAGGUCUUCGGAUCGUAAAACUCUGUUAUUAGGGAAGAACAUAUGUGUAAGUAACUGUGCACAUCUUGACGGUACCUAAUCAGAAAGCCACGGCUAACUACGUG